AUACUACUCCCUCCGUCCGAAAAUACUUGUCAUCAAAAUGAAUAAAAGGGGAUGUAUCUAGAACUAAAAUACAUCUAGAUACAUCCCCUUUUAUCCAUUUUGAUGACAACUAUUUCCGGACGGAGGGAGUACUAG
rnacentral:pre_miRNA from 1 species